GACGAACGCUGGCGGCGUGCUUAACACAUGCAAGUCGAACGGAAAGUCCCUGCUUUUGUGGGGUGCUCGAGUGGCGAACGGGUGAGUAACACGUGAGUAACCUGCCCUUGACUUUGGGAUAACUUCAGGAAACUGGAGCUAAUACCGGAUAGGAGCUCCUGCUGCAUGGUGGUGGUUGGAAAGUUUCGGCGGUUGGGGAUGGACUCGCGGCUUAUCAGCUUGUUGGUGGGGUAGUGGCUUACCAAGGCGUUGACGGGUAGCCGGCCUGAGAGGGGGACCGGCCACAUUGGGACUGGGAUACGGCCCAGACUCCUACGGGAGGCAGCAGGGGGGAAGAUUGCACAAUGGGAGGAAGCCUGAUGCAGCAAAGCCGCGUGCGGGAUGACGGACGUCGGGUUGUAAACCGCUUUCGCCUGUGACGAAGCGUGAGUGACGGUAAUGGGUAAAGAAGCAACGGAUAACUACGUG
rnacentral:rRNA from 1 species